AACGAACGCUGGCGGCAGGCCUAACACAUGCAAGUCGAGCGCCCCGCAAGGGGAGCGGCAGACGGGUGAGUAACACGUGGGAACGUGCCCGAAGGUACGGAAUAUGCCCGGGAAACUGGGUGCAAUACCGUAUGUGACCGAGAGGUGAAAGAUUUAUCGCCUUCGGAUCGGCCCGCGUCUGAUUAGCUAGUUGGUGGGGGAAUGGCCUACCAAGGCGACGAGCAGAAGCUGGUCUGAGGGGAUGAUCAGCCACACUGGGACUGAGACACGGCCCAUACUCCUACGGGAGGCAGCAGUGGGGAAUCUUGGACAAUGGGCGCAAGCCUGAUCCAGCCAUGCCGCGUGGAUGAUGAAGGCCCUAGGGUUGUAAAAUCCUUUCGUCAGGGACGAUAAUGACGGUACCUGAAGAAGAAGCCCCGGCUAACUUCGUGCCAGCCGCCGCGGUAA
rnacentral:rRNA from 1 species